CCCGACCCGUGACCGAUGGUCGGUCCCCAGCCUCGGGUGCGUCGGCGGUAACGCCGGGGUGCUGAGCCGAGGUGGUCAAGCCCAAGAGCAGGACGGGCCAUCGUCCAGCAACAGGCGAAGGGGAA
rfam:Kitasatospora setae KM-6054 DNA, complete genome.